rnacentral:lncRNA from 1 species
GGCCCGCGCACGUAGGGACGCAGGGGGCGCUCCUCGCGCCGCGCAUGCGCGCUGGAGCUGCUGCGGUCCUGCCCCUCUGGUCAAGUCAGAGGCGGGUCUUGCAGCCCUGACGCUUUGGUUAUGCGGAGGGUGGUUUUGUGCAGGUGACAGCUUUUCGGUCUGCCCUCCACAUACGAACUCUCGAUAACUUUCAAGAGCCAGGUGAGAAGAGGGCAGUGUUAUACUAGGAGAAACCACUUGGAGAUAAUGCCAGGUGCUUUUCGGUGUGAUUUGCAGGAAAUUCUCCCACCAGAGACCCGUAUUAUGCCUGGCAUACAGGAGGCAUUCAGAACAUUUGAUGACUAGAAGUGUGUGUCUAUCUCAAUGACACAGGUCUCUAAAACCCUUGCUGACAGUGUUUGGACCAAGAGGCUGGCAGCUAUGAUGGGAGCUCUGGUAGAAGAUGCAGCAACAGAAGAAAAGGAAAACCACCAAACCAGCAAAGAAAGAAGAAUUUCAGCUCACACAAUUUCCUCCAGAACCAGGAUCUGCAAAGAGGAUCCCUUUCACAGAGAAAUAAGUAAACAGGAAAUUUUAACAAGACAGCCAGUGUUUUAUGCUUAAACGGAUUAACAGGAAGACAACAAAGGAGUUCUGUGCUGAUGAUUGCUUUAUUUCUGGCCUUUCUAGAAACAAACAAACAAAAAUC